UGGCGAUGAUGACAAAAAGGCCGGUCUUACGGCUGCUACCUCUUUUAACUUCUUUUAACUGGGUUUUGGUAGUAGAUUGAUGAAUCAUCUGGGUAAAGGUGUGAUGUCUGAGCCAG